rnacentral:misc_RNA from 1 species
GAUGCUCCAAACAGCAAGCAUUACACCAGCAGCAGUCAUAAUGUUUCCAGUCAGAUCAUUCACAUAAAUUGCUGAAACAGGAGCGGGUAACUGAGGAAGCUGCCUAACAAAAACCAUGGAGCUAAGGUCCCACAAGAUAACAGUGCAGUCAUCUGAUCCACUCACAAUCAUCAUGUACGGCUGACUAACUUGUAGGCAUGUGAUUUUGCCUGUAUGAGCACAGAGAGUCUUCUCCAACUGCAAGCGCCUUACAGAACGGGGUGCCUCUUUACCAAUCCUCCAAACACAAACCAAUCCCUCGUCAGCCCCUGUAACUAGAAUGUGGCCAUCAUGACUAGCACUGGCACACUGUAUCUGGUUCCCUCCAUGAAGAUUCUCAUGAGUGGAGAGAAGCCUAUCUUGAUCAUAGCUAAUAAAUCUCAAACUGCG